rnacentral:lncRNA from 1 species
UAUAUAUAUAUAUAUAUAUACAGUCAACUUUUAAUAAAUGAAACUAAUCCAGUGAACUGAGUUAGUAACAGAGGGAUGAAACCACAAGUGGUAAUGCUGUUAAUUAGUUCCUGGCACUGGAACCCACCCAGCUCUGAAUGGCACCACAGUUCCAUGUACUCAGAAGCAGAGAAUCCAGCAAGUGAAUGCACAAAUAAAUAAAAGUAAAAUGAAAUAAUAAUAACAAAUAAGUAAACUAAUAACCAAAAAAAUGAUGCUCACAAUCUGAUGGAGUCAUCAACCUCCUCAUCAUAAACAUACAUUCUCACUCUCACACUCACACUCCCUCCCACACACAUACAUACAAAGGCAACACUCA